rnacentral:rRNA from 1 species
UACGUAGGGUGCAAGCGUUAAUCGGAAUUACUGGGCGUAAAGGGAGCGUAGGCGGACAUUUAAGUCAGGGGUGAAAUCCCAGAGCUCAACUCUGGAACUGCCUUUGAUACUGGGUGUCUUGAGUGUGAGAGAGGUAUGUGGAACUCCGAGUGUAGAGGUGAAAUUCGUAGAUAUUCGGAAGAAACACCAGUGGCGAAGGCGACAUACUGGCUCAUUACUGACGCUGGAGGCUACGAAAGCCGUGGGGAGCAAACAGG